rnacentral:rRNA from 1 species
CCUACGGGAGGCAGCAGUAGGGAAUAUUGCUCAAUGGGGGAAACCCUGAAGCAGCAACGCCGCGUGGAGGAUGAAGGUUUUCGGAUUGUAAACUCCUUUUGUUAGAGAAGAUAAUGACGGUAUCUAACGAAUAAGCACCGGUUAACUCCGUGCCAGCAGCCGCGGUAAUACGGGGGGUGCAAGCGUUACUCGGAAUCACUGGGCGUAAAGAGCGCGUAGGCGGGAUAGCAAGUCAGAUGUGAAAUCCUAUGGCUUAACCAUAGAACUGCAUUUGACACUGUUAUUCUAGGGUUUGGGAGAGUAAGGUGAAAGUCUGGGGUAGGGGUGAAAUCCGUAGAGAUCAAGAGGAAUACUCAUUGCGAAGGCGACCUGCGAGAACAUAACUGACGCUGAUGCGCGAAAGCGUGGGGAGCAAACAGGAUUAGAUACCCUGGUAGUC